AAGUGUCAAGCUUAGAUUAUUUUAUUAUUUGGCUUUAAAAAUUAGCCUACAACUCUUCCACAUUCAUUCUUAUGGCCGGCCAUAGCAAGAACAAAGGGAGAAAAGAAAGAACAAGAACCCUAGGGUGAAAAUUCAAGAGAAAAUUGGUGGAUUUCAAGUAAUCAAGCAAUCAAAGGUAAAAUUUCUUGAUUUUGACUUGUGAUCUACCUUUUCCAUGCAUUCUUUUGCAUUUUCCAUGGUUAAAUCACAUGAUUUCAUGAUGGGUAUCUUGCUGGCUGAACAUUUAGAGAGAGGUUUUGAUGCUUGAUUUGGUUAGAUUUUAAGAUAUUUUAGUGUUUUUAGUUAGUUAGUGAUGUAUAACAUGAAAAUCAAGCAAGAAAAAUUCAUGUUCUUCCAUCACCCAUCAUUGGCCGAAUUCUCCAUGUGGAAUAUUGAGGAUGAUUUUGAUAUUUAUUUCAAGUGAUUUGAUUAGGAAUUAGUGAUUUAUGGUGUGAGAAUCAAGUAGGGAAAAUUAUAGUGUUGAUGCACCCACCAUGGCCGAAUUUUCCAAGAGAAAAUGUGAGGAUGAUUUUGCCAUAUUUCAAGUUAUUUAAUUUGUGUUUGAUGAUUUGGAGUAUUGGGAGAAAAAUGAAAUUAUUUGGAGUUGAAUUGGACGUAUUGGCCAAUUAAUCAAGUGAUAGAUCGAAUUAAGCCAAUACUGUUUAAUUUAGGUACACAAUUGAAUUUGUGUAGAACACCAUGUUUAGACAAUAAUCUGAAUAAUUUGCAUCCCAUUUCAUACAUUAGUAUAAAGCCUGAAUUGGUUUUAUAACAAUUUAGCACAAUGUAGUAAAUGGCUUAUUGUGCAUUAUGUUUAGGUGGUGAGCAUUCUGGCAAAAGUAAAGAG
rnacentral:lncRNA from 1 species